ensembl:snRNA LOC120093301 U6 spliceosomal RNA
GUGUUCAACUCAGCAGCAUAUGUAUUAAAUCUGAAACAAUACAGAGAAGGUUAGCACUCCCCCUGUGCAAGGAUGACAUGAAAAUAAUGUUUUCUUUUUU